GAUGAACGCUAGCUACAGGCUUAACACAUGCAAGUCGAGGGGUAACGAGAGGGAAGCUUGCUUUCCUUGUCGACGACCGGCGCACGGGUGAGUAACGCGUAUCCAACCUGCCCCCAACUAGGGAAUAACCUUGCGAAAGUAAGACUAAUACCCUAUAAUUUCCUCAGAUUUCAUCGGACGAGGAAUAAAGAUUUAUCGGUUGUGGAUGGGGAUGCGUCUGAUUAGCGUGUUGGCGGGGUAACGGCCAACCAAGGCAAGGAUCAGUAGGGGUUCUGCGAGGAAGGUCCCCCACAUGGGAACUGAGACACGGUCCAAACUCCUACGGGAGGCAGCAGUGAGGAAUAUUGGUCAAUGGGCGGAAGCCUGAACCAGCCAAGUAGCGUGCAGGAUGACGGCCCUAUGGGUUGUAAACUGCUUUUAUACAGGAAUAAAGUUAGCCACGUGUGGUUAUUUGUAGGUACUGUAUGAAUAAGGACCGGCUAAUUCCGUGCCAGCCGCCGCCGUAA
rnacentral:rRNA from 1 species